UAACCCUGGCGGUCUUUUCAUUAGAAAUAAUGCCGUAUUUACACUUAAUGCGCUUGUAAAUUGUAGUUACAACUUGAAUCUAAAGGCAUUUGCCAGAAACGCACAAUUCAAAUUGCAAAAUUGUCAAUUUUUUGUUUUCGCAAUUUUGUGAAUUAUUAUAAAGUAUUUUACGUUUCAUGCGAGUGUCGUAUAUUGCGCAGUUUGGACGCUUCUAAACUGUCUAACUCCCUAACUAUUUUGCGCACGCGACGGACCAUAUUAUCCGCAUGCAACCGCCCUGAAAAGGAAUAUCCCCGAAGGUAUUGAGCCGGAAUAACCGCCAUAAGAGAGGGGACCUAGUCACUGGUAGCGGACUAUUUUUUCAUGAAGUAUGACCGGCUACCAGGAAAAUACAUGCUUUACCUUACUACGGGAGAGAAAAUGUUUAAAAAAACUUUGCCACCAUAAUUGCCUUAUUCUCGCCGAUCCAAACGACCAACAUGAUUUCCACCAAGUCUUCUUACGGGUACCAUUUGCACCCUCUAAGCUAUGGGUACCAUUUGUACCCCCA